rnacentral:rRNA from 1 species
UACGAGGGGGGGCGAGCGUUGUCCGGAAUUAUUGGGCGUAAAGAGCUCGUAGGCGGUCUGUCGCGUCGGCUGUGAAAACUCGGGGCUCAACCCCGAGCCUGCAGUCGAUACGGGCAGACUAGAGUGCUGUAGGGGAGACUGGAAUUCCCGGUGUAGAGGUGAAAUUCGUAGAUAUCGGGAGGAACACCAGAGGCGAAGGCGGCGACCUGGAAGGUAACUGACACUGAGCAGCGAAAGCGUGGGGAGCAAACAGG